AUUGAACGCUGGCGGCAGGCCUAACACAUGCAAGUCGAGCGAGCGGCGGACGGGUGAGUAAUGUAUGGGGACUGCCCGAUAGAGGGGGAUAACUACUGGAAACGGUAGCUAAUACCGCAUACUAUCGGAUAACCCAUAUGGGAUUAGCUAGUAGGUGAGGUAAUGGCUCACCUAGGCGACGAUCCCUAGCUGGUCUGAGAGGAUGAUCAGCCCACCGUGGGCUGAGACACGGCCCAGACUCCUACGGAGGCAGCAGUGGGGAAUAUUGCACACUGGACGCAAGCCUGAUGCAGCCAUGCCGCGUGUAUGAUGAAGGCCCUAGGGUUGUAAAGUACUUUCAGUCGGGAGGCGUUACCGACAGAAGAAGCACCGGCUGACUCCGUGCCAGCAGCCGCGGUAAUAC
rnacentral:rRNA from 1 species